rnacentral:lncRNA from 1 species
GGAAGGCUUCCUGGAGCAGAUGGGUUAUCAGAAGGAGUUGAAGAUGUGGAUUUGUGAUCUCUCAGAUAGGAAGAAGGAGGGAGUUCCAAGCAGGAAAGAGGUUACAAGCAGCCGGUCAGCCACAAGAGAAAUGAGAACAAGACACAGUGAGUCUAAUACACACCCCAGGACCAAACCAUUUGCAACCGAAAGCUCCAUGCCGCUUCUUUCUCCACCAAAAGCCAGAUGGAUCCGUUCCAGCUCAGCAUUCCCGUCAGGAGACAAGCACAAGAUCCCGAGGCAAAGUUCCCAGGUGCAUCCGGAUUCAUUUCCCAGAAAUGAAAUUCAGUGUGUGUCCAGAACAUCCAUCUCUUUGUGAUGCGAACAUCUGGACUGCCUAUCCACGGAGUACCUGGCUCCAGAAAGGACCACUCCAGUCAAAAUUUUGUCCUCCUUCCUCAACUUCUCUGAGGCUCUGAUGCUUAAAAAAACUUGGGACCAAAACAUCAGUGAAACUCGGAAACUGAGUGUGUCUUCAUCAUUAUCAUAAACUCCUAGCGCUGGACGGGAGUUCAAAAGGUAACCUGGUCCAGUCUCCUGGCUCCAGGGAAAUGAGGUCUAAACUGUCGUGUUUGUAAAGCUCCACAAUACUCCCUUUUCCUAGGUUUAAUUCUGUAUGCAGUCCAUUUUGCAGUCUCAUUCAGUCCAUUAGAGAAGCAGCAUGGCUCAGUGGAAAGAGCAUGGGCUUGGGAGUCAGAGGUUGUGGGUUCUAAUCCCAACUCCACCACUUAUCAGCUAUGUGACUUUGGGCGAGUCACUUAACGUCUCUGUUCCCCAGUUACCUCAUCUGCAAAAUGGGGAUUAAGACUGUGAGCCCCACGUGGGACAACCUGAUCACCUUGUGCCUACCCCAGCGCUUAGACCAGUGCUUGGCACAUAGUAAGCGCUUAACAAAUACCAUCAUCAUUAUUAUUAUUAUUGUUUUUCCUUUCCCUUUUGCCGUGACCUGUCCAAUUAGCCCCCUCUGGGCCUCACCUCGGCCUCUUUUGGUCUCUCCCACACUUGUUCUGCUUAGUAAAAGCUUAGUACAGUGCUCUGACAGUAAGCGCUUAACGAGUACAAUGAAACAAACAAUAAAUACCACCGAAUCACUGAUUGAUUGAUUCUGCUGAGACCCUUGGCUCCUUUGAGGGGACUAAGAAGGAAGGCAAAACUUCAGCCCUCUAACUGUCCUCGCUUUGACCCCAUUCAACAGGGAAUGAAGUUCUUAGGGGAAAGAAGAGAGGCUUCACUGCUCUGUGCCGGGUUUAUAUCUGUUUCACGGUACAUGUUAAGCAUUUUCCGUCCAUCGAGCACUGUUCUAAGUGCUGAGGAACACACAGUCAGUCAGUCGUACCUACUGAGUGCUUACUGUGUGCAGAGCACUGUGCUAUGUGCUUGGGAGAGUGCAAUACAACAAUAUAGCAGACAAAUUCCCUGCCCAUAGUGAAUUUAUAGUUUAGAGGAUGAGCUUACAGUCUAGAGGACCGAUUAUUCAAGAUAAGCAGGCCGGACACCGUCCCUGCCCCCCUGUCCCACAGUCACAGUAUAAGUAGGAAAGAGCACGGGUAUUUAAUCCCAGUUUUUACAGUUGAGGAAACUGAGGCACAGAGAAGUGAAGUGACUUGUCCAAGGUCUCACAGCAAGCAAGUGGCAGAGUUUGGAUUAGAAUCCAGAUCCUCUGACUCCCUGGCCAGGGCUGUUUUCACUAGGCCACGCUGUUUCUCAAGGUCGUUACGCCAGCAGUACCAACUGGUCUCUGCAGCUGGGUACCACCUCGCCCAUCUCCAUGGAUGCAGAGAAGAGGCGUAGGAGGCUGUGUUCAAGGCAGCAGGCUGGGGGAAGAAGACAGGGUUCAUGGCCUCUCACUCACCCCCAGGCCUGUGCCCAAGCUCCUGGGGGAAGACAGCAGGGUCUUCUUUCUGAUGUGGAACUGCCAAAGUUGCCAAUUCCGUGUGCUGGGUUCCUCGAGGCUCUUUCCCACAGAAGGGAGGCUCUGGGGCUGCCUGCUCUGGGCUCAGUGCCAGCAGGCUCUGGCAUUCUCGCUGGGUGGAGGCGGAGUGCAGAGAGCUAAAGAGCAGGAUGCAGGCUGAAUUUCAAUGCCAGCGAGGAGGCAGAAAAAACCCGUGCUGCUUCGCUUUCAUGCGGGAGGGUCCUGGAACAGAGGGAGAGCAGGAGAAUGGGUGUUCGCUCUGUGUGUGUGUUUUGUUAUUUGGGGUGCAUAUUUAUAUAUCUGU